GGCUGCCGUAGGGGAUGCCGGCGUUCGCCGCCUUCCGCCGCUCCACGGCGCAGCCCGGGCAACGACCGGCCUCAACGGACCGAGGAUGAUCCAUCUUCUUCUUCUUCUCCAGCAACGGCGUCGACACCGACGAUAUACAGGAAUAUUCGUGGCACGUGAGAGCUGGUGGUGGUGGGUCCAUAUGGUCAGUGGGGCUGUGCAAGUGCAAUCUAUCAUCAGAUGGUGCUGGUGCUGUAGAUCUUUGUUUUUGGGUUUUGAUAUAAACUGACAGGAGCUUGGAUUUUUUUUCAUGUUUCUUUUUCUCAA